UCGGUUUUUUACUCCCCGCCGGUUUUUCCCCACCUCCCCAUCCCCAGCUCGCAAUAGAUCGUGCCCCACCCACGAUCCUCCGUUCCGUUCCUCCCGCCGGCGAAACAGAUCCUCGCUCCAUCCGUCCUCCUGCCGGCGUUCCUCCGGUGAUGCGCCGGGCGCCGCCCUCCCCCGUGUCUUCCUGCCUCGCCGGCUCUUGUCCCGCCCCUGCAACACCCUGCUCUGCCGGACCCUGCGACACCCCGCGCCGCCGGCCGCCAUCGGUGGGCUUUCCGUCGGUGACCUUCGGGCUAUCCCCGUGAAGGGCUGCGCGGCCGGCCCCCCUCCCGACCCGGCGAGGCACCCUCUCCUGGUCCCCAAUCUCGCGAUUCGGGCCCUCCCCGGCGACCCUCUGGUGAGACGCGGUCCUGUGCCCCCCCUCUCGCCCUCCGGCGAGGUCCUACGCCGCCGGCUACCUGCAGCCUCUGGACGUCAGCGCGUCGUCCGCUCUCCUGAGUUUGUUUUGUUCUUGCAGGCAGCGGCUAUUCUGGAUUCAUGCCGAGACGGAGUUGUUGUUCUUAACCAUCCCCGCGCCCCCGUCGUGGCUCGCCAACGUUCCGCCGGCGCCGGACACGACUUUGCGUUUUUGUCCCCACAAGUUGUUAAUAUAGGCAAUCCCCACAAGAAUUUGGCCUGCAUUAUUUCUGUGGAGUGUAUCAAAUCCUUCUGAUGUGGCCUCUUGUUUGAUCUUUGAAAGAUAAGGUGGAUUAGACUCUGACAGUAACAAUGCUGUUAGCUGGAAGUAAUUUAAGGUGAAUGACCUUAUACUAUUUAACAAUUUUUUUAUUGAAUAUGUGUCAUGAUAACCGCUUCAUUAUAUUAGGCAUAUCCACAUGUCUUUCAGAUUUGAGUGCAUUAAUAACUAUACUAUUUGAACAGAUCAUUUGCUAUGUGAGCCAUAUCCAGGUUUCAUAUAUUUUUCACAAUCUAGAGUUUGAUUGUUGUUUGGUUCAAUACUUUGAUCGUCUGUUCUCAGUAAUUACCCUUACUUGUUGUGUAGUGUGAGGACACAAGGAGCUGUUGCGCCAAGUUCAUGUCAGCUUCCAGCAGCCGGCGUGAGCUCUCAUGAUAAGCAUUGAAGCAAGAGUUAUGGGAAUUGGGGUGCCAGAACUGCCUAGCAAAUUCUGUGUAACCUGCUAUGCUGCAAGACUCCAUCAGUGGUACAUGAGCCUUCUUUGUGCUCCCUAGUUCCAAUAGUCUGCAGUCUAGCUCUGCCAUUCUGCAACUUAAGAAGGUACUAAUUUCUGAUCCAAUCAGUUAAGAAGCCUGAUAAACUGAUGAAGGCUUAUUAGAUUUUGCAUCCACAGGAUUGAGCCUCCUGUAGUAUGCAGUGCGUGACCAUUCUGGUGAAUCAUUAGCUAUAAAAUAAAUAUGGACUGUUCUGAACUAUUUCCAUCUUCCUGCAGCUCCAUGAUCACACUAGAGCAGACUGGUCAGAACAAACUAGCUUCAGUUUUGUUUGCCUUGUGGUAGACAUCCCAACAGAUGUCAGAUGAUGGUGAUUGAUAGGCAUGAAAUGUGUACCUUUCUGCAUGAGUAUAAUUUUUUACCAUGUACUGUGUUGAUUAAAUGUUUUUACAUUUUUGGGUAAACCUUUGACAGUUUCUGAAUUUGCUUUAUUUGGCAGAAUAGCUCAUUGUCAGAAAUUUUUGCUACACCAUUUUUUAAACCAAUAUAAUGGAAGUUGUUAUCUGGAAUUUAUAACAAAAGAGAUAUGUUCUUGGUAGUUUGUGAUUAAAUUUACUCCAAAUAGAAGCAUUUCACUGUUCUCAUUAUAUGAUAUCACCAUGUAUAACUAUUUGUUAGUGACUAUAGUUGUUUUCAUUAGAUAUGCAUGCCUGAAGGUGGGAAGAAUAUUUGAUUCAUAAUUCUUUUGUUGGCAUGCCCCAUUUUACUAUGGUUGUUCUCAACUAAUCAACUAGUACUAAUAAUAGCUAUGUUGUUGCAUAAAAAUGUGGAUGCUUGAACCUGUAAUGUCUUCAGAUUGUGAGAUGUUGUCUCUGCAGGGAUGAUAGGAUCGAUCCUGCCUCUGAUGCUUGAUAACCUGGAGGCUACGCAGAUGGCAAACAAUGAGUUGUCUCUGCAGGCUCUGAGAUGAAUUGGUAGCUAGCAAUUAUGUGUUGUCAUGAACUAUUGACAUCUGCCUGCAGCUCCAAGCCUCCAAGAUCGCAUUACAGCAGAUUGGUCAGAACCAAAAAGCUUGACUUUUUUUUUUGCAUUAUGGAUGACUUCCAAACAAGCUAUCAGAUGAUGUUGAAGGCUGAAAGAUCUCGACAGAAGUGUGGUAGACAUCCAUUUGCAUGCCUGUGAUGUAAUCCUUUCUAAGCCUUCUAGCAUCAUAUGCUUGUGCCUGAUGCAGGUGAAGGCUGGUGAACACAUGCUAUUCCGUUCCUUCAUUUGUAUGGCAAUCAUUGGCUUGAUUCUAGAUUUAAGAUAUGUAUCUACAAUGAGAUAACGACAUUUGCAAAUAAAAGUCUCUAAUGCUGAGAAUUUUACUCAAGUUGCAAAA